GCAGAAGAAUGUGAAAACACUAUACUGGUUAAGUCUUCUGGCUACAUCUUUCUCCCGUGCUGAAUGCUUUCUGCUGUCAAACAUCAGAGUUCUUCAUCUUUGGGACUCGGGCUGGCUUCCUUGCUCCUCAGCUUGCAGAUGGCCUAUUGUGGGACCUCACCUUGUGAUCAUGUGUUCAUGAAAGCCAGUUGCUACAUGAAGAAGCCUGGGCUAACCUGCUGGAAGAAGAUGAAAGACCACAACAAUCAUGAUCCACUCCAGUCAUCCCAGCUGAACUCCUAUACAUGUAAAAGACUCCCCUGAUGGCUAGCCAAUCCUCCUACAGAAGCAGAUAGGCAACUGAUCGCAGACACAUGAGUAAAUCCAGCCCCCGAUAAGAACAGCUCAACCAACCUGCACAUUCAUGAACAAAGUAAAUGCUUUCUGUUUAAGUCACCA
rnacentral:lncRNA from 10 species